rnacentral:ncRNA from 2 species
CAACCAUCAAGAGCGGCUGAGAGAUCUGGCUCGUUGACGCCGCAGCAACCAUCGCCCGAUGGAAUUCCCCUUCCGGGGAAUCCGAUCGGCGAGGGUGCUAAGGCCAGAAGCGAUGGAGC